rnacentral:lncRNA from 1 species
AUGACCCUUUCUUAACUCUCUACAUGACUACUUACAAGACAGAUUAAGGAAUUUCGGGCAUCAAACAAAAUUAACAAAUGGCCUUCACAAUGAAAAGUUCUCUUCUGGUUUUGAUGUUAGUAUUUCUUUGCAUGACAGAUGUUUCGAUUUUAGGUAUGGCUUUCUUUUGUUUUUUAGUUUAUCAAAAAAAAAAAAUUUGGCCAUGCUAUUUUCAAAAAAAAAAUAAGUAUCCUCCAACAUUCCUUUUGUAUUCAUCCUUUUAACAAUGUUAAAUGAUAACAUAACAUGUGUCAUAUUUAAUGAAAUUAAAGACAAAUGUCAUUAUUUAAUAUGGGUAGAAGGAUGAAUAGAAAUAAAAAUAAAUACAAUGAAAAAUAUGUAUUGAUUUAAUUUACACGUGUAUACAGCUCUUGAAGAAUCAUGCGUUGGAUAUUGUGUUGCAAUGACGGAAGAAAAUUGCUUACAACUUUGCAAAACUAUAGGUUUUGUAGCUGGUUCAUGCAAAAAACAAUGGCCUUUCUCUAGGUGUUGUUGUCAUGAUCAACUAGUUCUUAGCCCUUCGAAUUAAGGGUUAUUGCUUGUAAACCAUUUUUUUGGCAUCAUGAUGUCCAAUAAAACUACCAAAUAAUUCUAUAAA